rnacentral:rRNA from 1 species
UACGAAGGGGGCUAGCGUUGUUCGGAUUUACUGGGCGUAAAGCGCACGUAGGCGGAUCGUUAAGUCGGGGGUGAAAUCCUGGAGCUCAACUCCAGAACUGCCUUCGAUACUGGCGAUCUUGAGUCCGGAAGAGGUGAGUGGAACUCCUAGUGUAGAGGUGGAAUUCGUAGAUAUUAGGAAGAACACCAGUGGCGAAGGCGACUACCUGGCCUGUUCUUGACGCUGAGGCGCGAAAGCUGGGGGGAGCAAACGGG